UUCGAUCGAAGAAAUUUUCACUCAAAUCUUUGCAAAAUAAAAUAAAUUUGAUUACAAUUAAUCGAGAAAAUAAUAAUAAUAAUUACCAAGAUAAUUCUUAUUGACGUGAAAGUUUCUUCGUCGCAAAAAUCGAGCUAAUAUUUUUUUUAUCGACACAAAACAUUCUUCUUUGAUUAAACACAUCGGGUGUCUUGACGGCGUCGAACGGAGAAAGGAAAAAAAAAAGAAAAAGCAAACACGACCAACUUUAAUAUCGAAGCCAAGUGACGCACGUUGAUGCGAGAGAGCUCUCUUCUCCUUUAAAAAAUAAUCCGUGUCUUGAAUUAGAAACUCGCUCAAUCGUUCUCUGACGGGUGACUGAGAAAACGCACACGCUUCCACAAGGAUUGAAAUUGCUUCUCUACGAACUACGUGUAUAGAAUCGAUAAUAUCACUUGUAAAUAUAAAUGAUGGAAAAUAUUCUUUUGAACAAUGCUUUGAUUAUUGAGAAGUUAAUCAUUUGAUAAAUUUGAUGGAACAAAUACAAUGGUACAAUACAGUACAAAAUAAGUAAAUACAUUUUUCACUUUCACUGUUUGCUUCUUCUUACGAUAUGAAAUUUAUCCUUUGUCUGAUAUAAACUAUUUUUGUGAACCAAAUAACCAUGUGUAUAUAACAAGGGUACGAAGGAGAAUCCCGAUAAAUUGCAAGAAAAGUUGGUAUAAUGUUGAUGAAAUAUGGCGGAGGGUGGCGAGUUGGUUUUAAGUUUACGACGCACAGAGCAUCUCUCUGUUUUAAAGAUAAUAUCCAACAAGAGUAACAAAGGUCUUGGUCCCUUACUAGAGAAGGGUCGCAAAAUCCAAACAUUGUGACCUUGCAUGCUCAACUACACGAAUAACAGAUUAAAAAAUUAAUGAAAAUUAGAAAAAUAGAAUUAAUAAAUUAAUAAAAAUAUAUAUGCAUCGAUUGAAAUGUUAUGAAUGUCGAAUGUAUCGUGUUUUAAUGAAGAAUAUAUUGGAUUUUUGAAGAGAGUGAAAAUAAAUUUUAAUUUUUUAUAAUUUUUUUUUUUUUUUUUUUUUUUUUUUGUAUACACUUCUUUGACCAAUUGAGUAUAGAAUAAUUUAUCAAUGGGCCACUGGAUGAUACUUUCCUUUGUCCCAUGUGACCCAUAAGAUAUUUUAACACAGAUGACUGAAAAGUUUUAAGACAAGAUUUCUAUUUAACAGAUUAUAAAUCUAAAUAGUAUUCAUA